GGAAGCCACGAGACGGUGCAUGGAAUCGGAGGGAACGCUUGUUUCGCUUGCAUCGCUCGCGCCGUUGCAUCGCGAACGGGGAUUCUCGCGUCACCACCCCCAUUACAACACACAGGAUCCCGCACUACGAAAACUCUUCAUUUGGGUCGUGAAUUUGAGCUGCUUUGCUCCUCAACUGACGACGAGGGUUUUUAGCCUUUGUUCGAGGGGUUGUCUGUCGCAGAUGUUGUGGAAACAUUCUAGAGUCGCGUUUUCGGCAAGGUUCGUUGCUGGGUUGGUACCACCAAAGAUUUGGGUGGCAAAAUUUGAACGCGCUGAAGUGUUUCCUUCGUUUUGAAGAGUUGGGACGUUCGCAUCGGAUGGGAAACAGGAAAGCUGUCUUUUUGCUCUCAAAGGGUGAGGGAGAUUCUCGUGGUGAGUUUUGCGCACGGUUUGGUUUGUGAGGAAAGCGAUUCUGUUUUUUUUUUUAAACGUGGGUAACGAAUCGUUCUCGCUGGGGAAUCGUCUCAAAUGGAGCGGAUAUUCCUGGGACAUCGAGGCGAUUGUUUUGAUAAUGCGGAGGAGGCAGUUGGAGAAGAGGAUUUGAACCUAAGAGAAGGAGAUGCUUGACUUACUGCCAGCAUUGGGUCAGGCGUGGACAUAUUUCGAACAACUGAUACUCUUCUACAUUGCUCCGCUGACCCAGUACAUGAUAACGGAGCUUGAAAAGCAUGGAAUUAUGGUAUCAGCAGUUGCAAGGGGCUUUUCCAAGACAGACUCCUUAUUUGCUUCGAGGAGUGAGCGGGGGAUUCAAGAGGCUUCGAAGGAAAUGUCCCUCCACAGAUGGAUGCAUCCCGUGUAUGAGCUUGAUGCUCUGAUUACUUUCCUUGUCAGUGACCAUGGGCACUCCAGAACAGAGAAUGUUCGCAUUGCUGGCGUAGAACAUUUUCUGUCAAAACCUCAGGUGAAAUCCUUGUAGCCGAACAAUCUGCUUGAUGGUGCAAAAUCCCCAAUUACCCGCAGUCGUGUUGCCUGGAAACGAUUUCGACAUCUUUGAGGUACCCAGAUACCUCAUUUGUCUUGACAAGUAAAGUAGAUUUGGGUAAAAUUUUAACAGUCCACGGAUCGGUCUCGAAUUAUGCAACAUUGUCUCAUGCAUGCAUCUAGUGCAGUGAAAGUCAAAGCUAAAGAUUCAUCUGCUUCAAUAAAGGACCCCCUUGUAUGUCAGCCAA